CUAUAAUGCAGUCGACGCUUCUUUUCCCACCGGAGCUUGCUCCACCGGGAAAAGAGGAGUGGCGAACGGGUGAGUAACACGUGGGUAACCUGCCCAUCAGAAGGGGAUAACACUUGGAAACAGGUGCUAAUACCGUAUAACAAUCGAAACCGCAUGGUUUCGUUUUGAAAGGCGCUUUACGGUGCCGCUGAUGGAUGGACCCGCGGUGCAUUAGCUAGUUGGUGAGGUAACGGCUCACCAAGGCCACGAUGCAUAGCCGACCUGAGAGGGUGAUCGGCCACAUUGGGACUGAGACACGGCCCAAACUCCUACGGGAGGCAGCAGUAGGGAAUCUUCGGCAAUGGACGAAAGUCUGACCGAGCAACGCCGCGUGAGUGAAGAAGGUUUUCGGAUCGUAAAACUCUGUUGUUAGAGAAGAACAAGGGUGAGAGUAACUGUUCACCCCUUGACGGUAUCUAACCAGAAAGCCACGGCUAACUACGUGCCAGCAGCCGCGGUAAUACGUAGGUGGCAAGCGUUGUCCGGAUUUAUUGGGCGUAAAGCGAGCGCAGGCGGUUUCUUAAGUCUGAUGUGAAAGCCCCCGGCUCAACCGGGGAGGGUCAUUGGAAACUGGGAGACUUGAGUGCAGAAGAGGAGAGUGGAAUUCCAUGU
rnacentral:rRNA from 1 species